UAGAGGCUGCUCAGGGCUCACUCUGUCCCUCUUAUGUACAGUAACUAAAUGCAUCACAAGGCACACCGCCCCGCUCCCCAAGAAAGCUCUAACUAUGUCCUGCACAUUCCCUCCCUGCAUGGGGAUGGUAAGCACUCAGCCUUAAGUUCCUCAGGAGGGAAGAAUCUGAAUAGCAGCCACCAAGUGAUCAUCAUUCCACCCUGGAGCCAGAUUUACAGGAGAUUAGAGUGGAGAGUCUCCAAACUGGCUCAGAGACAAAAAUCAGUGUUAGGCACAGCAGCCCACAGCAGCCCCGUGCCUGCAGAUGGGGCAGGGCUCAGGACAGAACCAGAGCUGAGACCUCACCACUGAGUCAGCUUCACUGCACUGCAGAUAAAGCCAGCUAUUGGUACGGUCUGUAAAUGAA
rnacentral:lncRNA from 1 species